rnacentral:ncRNA from 1 species
AGAAAAUCUACUCAUAAUGCCGAUAAUGGAUGCCUAGGAGAUUUUGGCCGAGGAAGGACGCAUAUGGCGGCGAUACACGUCGGGUAGGUGCCAUAAACCUUUAAUCCGGCGAUGUCCGAAUGGGGAAACCCCUCGCAUUUGCGAGAGUCAAACGUAAAAAUGUAUCAGCAAUGGUAUGUAU